rnacentral:rRNA from 1 species
GAUGAACGCUGGCGGCGUGCCUAAUACAUGCAAGUCGAGCGAACGGACGAGAAGCUUGCUUCUCUGAUGUUAGCGGCGGACGGGUGAGUAACACGUGGAUAACCUACCUAUAAGACUGGGAUAACUUCGGGAAACCGGAGCUAAUACCGGAUGAUAUUUUGAACCGCAUGGUUCAAAAGUGAAAGACGGUCUUGCUGUCACUUAUAGAUGGAUCCGCGCUGCAUUAGCUGGUGGGUGAGGUAACGGCUUACCAAGGCACCGAGGCAUCGCCGGCCUGCGAGGGGGGUCGGCGACACUGGAACGGAGACACGGUCGAGACUCCUACGGGAGGCAGCAGUAGGGAAUCUUCCGCAAUGGGCGAAAGCCUGACGGAGCAACGCCGCGUGAGUGAUGAAGGUCUUCGGAUCGUAAAACUCUGUUAUUAGGGAAGAACAUAUGUGUAAGUAACUGUGCACAUCUUGACGGUACCUAAUCAGAAAGCCACGGCUAACUACGUG